UAGUCAAACUUAUUUGGUUGUGCAAACUCUAUUUGAGCGGAAAUGAAGGGUUAAUCUUGGCUAAUUACUUUUAGAAUUAUUGGAUUUUUUACUUUGAUCAAGACUAGUUUUAGUCUUCACCUUGGAAGCAAAAUGGACCAAGACAUUUCAUUCAUUUUCUUACCUCUUGGCCGACCAUGGAGUGGAAAUAUCAGCCAUAAUCUUCUUCUCUUGGCCGAAAAUUUUGACUAAGCAAGAGAGUAGGAAAAAACAAAUUUAAGGGAAAGCUGCCGGAUUGUUUUUCCUUGUCUUACUCCAAUUGCCCAACCGAGAGAGACAUAUUUCUCCAUUGCCUCCAUUUUUGACCAAGUAGCAUGCAAGUUGACUAAGCCAAAUUUACUUCCUCUUGUUUCUUUUCUUUAGCUCAACCACCGAGAGAAAGAAAAACAAAGACAAACAAGACUGCUCACUUGUUUUGUCCCACCUUAGCCGAGAGAGAGUAGAGAGAGUUGAGAGGAAAAGAUUGUGGCUUGCACCCACCUUCCAGCCGAGAGAAAAUUUGGGGAAAACAAAGAAAUUUCCCUUGUUUUGUUUCCACUUCAGCCAAGAGCAACCAGCGAGAGAAAACUGAAAGGAAGCUUGAGUCUUGUUUCCAUUUCCAGCUUGUUUGAUCGAGUAGAAGGACCAAAACAGGGGAGUUAACUUCUAGCUUGUUUUAAAGGGGGUACGGGCGAGGCGUGAGACAUGUACCGACUAGCGUAGUUUAGUUGUUUUGAAUUUUGAAUUUGUACUUGUGCUAGUACCCGACCAGGGUUGAUUGUACUCGAAUUGUAAACACUUUGAAGUAUUUUGGUAUGUAGAAGCUUUGUAUCUGGAUUUGAGUUUCGAUGUAUAUUAUAAGUUUGAAUUGCGAUGUUA